AUUCUAGCUGAAUCUUAUGAAUUCUCAGAACUCAUUGACCUGAUUACAAAUUAUUUCUCUUUGGGCUAGAGGUUCAUAUCUCCAGAUGGCCAUUACGUGAGCUGCUGUCUUCCUUUCUAUAGUGCUCUCAAUAACACUACGUAUGGACCGAAUUAUUAAUGGAAUCAAGCAGGGUAGUAAGAGGCAUAAGAUAAUAAAUACCACUCCUCCUACCAGUGCUUUUAACUCUCCAAACUG